rnacentral:rRNA from 1 species
AGCUCCAAUAGCGUAUAUUAAAGUUGUUGCGGUUAAAAGCUCGUAGUUGGAUUUCUGUUGAGGGAGGCCGGUCCAUACUAUGUAUGUGUAUCUGGUUCUGUCUCGGCAUCCUCUUGGGGAAGGGUUCUGUGCUUGAUUGCAUGGGCUCUGAUUCAAGACUUUUACUUUGAGGAAAUUAGAGUGUUCACGGCAAGCUAUCGCUUUGAAUACAUUAGCAUGGAAUAAUAAUAUAGGGCUUAAGUUCU